UGCAGUGUCUCAGGCACCGGGUUCGGCCCUGCUGUCUCGUAUAAUCCACACUACAUCCUCUGAAAUGAGUAUUGUUUUAUUUUACAGAUGAGGAAACUAAAUCUUUAAGAAGUUAGGAACUUGGCCAAGUUUACAAGUCUGCAGGUAUUGGAGAUACAAUCCAAACAAGGUUAUGACCGGCAGCUGGAGGAAGCCAAGUCGCUGAUAGCCAAAAGGAAAAGGACUUGGCAGGACUUGUGAAGUUCACAGUCAGCACUGAUGGUCUUGAAAUAGAAUUUUCUACAACAAGCAAAGCUGGGACCUUCAUCACUCCAAUGGCACUGCACAUCAGAUAAAACGUAUGAUCAGCAAACCUUAAUGGAGCAUCUACUGUGUAAAGCUCUGGACUAGCUGCUGUUAAAGGUUUGUAUUUAAGUUUGAAUAUUUCUGAUGGCAGUGAAUCUACUAUUUGCAA